rnacentral:rRNA from 1 species
CCCAACUAUCCCUAUUAAUCAUUACGUCAAUCCUAGAAACCAACAAAAUAGGAUCGAACGUCCUAUUUCAUUAUUCCAUGUUAAUGUAUUCAAGCGUAAGCCUGCUUUAAACACUCUAAUUUUUUCAAAGUAACAGUCCUGAUUCCCCGCAACACCAAAUUAAUGACAUUACGGUUCAUCAAAAGGGAGGAACCAGCAAGCCAGUACAUACCAUAGGCACGACCAACCGCUGACCCCGAAAUUCAACUACG